rnacentral:rRNA from 1 species
UACGGGAGGCAGCAGUGGGGAAUAUUGCACAAUGGGCGAAAGCCUGAUGCAGCUAUGCCGCGUGUAUGAAGAAGGCCUUAGGGUUGUAAAGUACUUUCAUCGGGGAGGAAAAAACAAAACUAAUAAUUUUAUUUCUUGACGUUACCCGAAAAAGAAGCACCGGCUAACUCCGUGCCAGCAGCCGCGGUAAUACGGAGGGUGCUAGCGUUAAUCAGAAUUACUGGGCGUAAAGAGCACGUAGGUGGUUUUUUUAAGUCAGAUGUGAAAUCCCUGGGCUUAACCUAGGAACUGCAUUUUGAAACUGAAAUACUAGAGUAUCGUAGAGGGAGGUAGAAUUCUAGGUGUAGCGGUGAAAUGCGUAGAUAUCUGGAGGAAUACCUGUGGCGAAAGCGGCCUCCUAAACGAAUACUGACACUGAGGUGCGAAAGCGUGGGGAGCAAACGAGGAUUAGAUAC